AUGGAGCGGUCCGGCUCCAAGCGGGCGCUAGACCCUGGCGGCAGUGGCGGCGGCGGCGGCGGCGACGACGACGAACGUGAUCCUAAACGGCCGCACGUCCCGGCCCUCGCCAGUGUCAUUGUAGAAGCUCUCAAGUUGGACAGUUUGCAGAAGCUUUGUUCAUCCCUGGAGCCGAUUCUCCGAAGAGUUGUCAGCGAAGAAGUAGAGCGUGCUCUAGCCAAACUGGGACCUGCAGCAGCACCUGCUAGAAUUGAAGGAAGGACCUCUCCCAAAAGAAUUGAAGGCCCUAAUGGUAGUAAUCUCCAGCUUCAAUUUCGGAGUAGGUUAGCACUCCCACUCUUUACCGGAGGAAAAGUGGAAGGCGAGCAGGGAGCAUCAAUACAUGUUGUGCUGUUGGAUGCAAACACUGGACAUGUUGUUACUUCAGGACCCGAGUCAUUUGCAAAACUGGAUGUGCUUGUGCUCGAGGGUGAUUUUAAUAAAGAGAAGGACGAGGAUUGGACUGAAGAGGAAUUUGAGAGCCACAUUGUGAAAGAACGUGAAGGGAAGAGGCCUCUUUUAAACGGUGAUAUCCAUGUGACACUUAAAGAAGGCGUAGGGACCAUAGGGGAGCUUAUCUUCACUGACAAUUCCAGUUGGAUAAGGAGCAGAAAAUUCAGACUUGGGAUGAGGGUCUCUUCAGGAUUUUGUGAAGGAAUUCGUAUCAAAGAGGCGAAAACAGAGGCUUUUACUGUGAAAGAUCACAGAGGAGAAUUGUACAAGAAACAUUACCCUCCUGCGCUUAAGGAUGAUGUUUGGCGAUUGGAAAAGAUUGGAAAGGACGGUGCAUUCCACGGGAAACUAAACUCAAACGGAAUAUAUACAGUUGAACAUUUUCUUCAACUUCUUGUUAAAGAUCAGCAGAAGUUAAGAAGUAUCCUUGGCACUGGCAUGUCAAAUAAGAUGUGGGAAAGUCUUGUUGAACAUGCGAAAACUUGCGUGCUGAGUGGCAAGCAUUAUAUAUAUUACUCAAAGGAUACAGCAAGUGUUGGUGCAAUAUUCAAUAACAUCUAUGAGUUCACUGGUUUGAUUGCUGAUGAUCAGUUUAUUUCAACGGAAAAUCUUACUGAAAACCAGAGGGUGUUUGCAGAUACAUUGGUGAAGCAAGCAUACGAUGAUUGGAUCAACGUUGUAGAAUAUGAUGGCAAGGGAUUGUUGAAAUUUAAGCAGAAAAAGAGAUCUGUCACAACAAGAAGUGAUGCUGCAAAUGUCUCUACAAGCUACACUUCUUAUGAUUCAGCGCACUCUCAGAAACAAUUGGCACGAGGACAUCCCAAUAUUGAGCGAUCUCUCAUGAGCAGUACCAGUAAGGCAGAAGAGACAAGAGUUGCAUCCAACGGGAACCAGGUAGCGAUAUAUGCAACCAAUCCUCAGGACAUCUCACCAAGUAUUACCAUGCAAUAUGGCAUGAGUUCAUUGAUUCCUGAAGGCCAGUUCAAUGGCUCUUCCAUCCAAACUCAAGCACCAAGAAGCUCCAACAUGCUAGCAUUUGGCCCUCCACCACAGCAGCAGCAGAACUUCGAAUUCUCAACACUUGGUCUGUCCAUGCAAUCCCCAGCUCUUAAUCCUUUUGAUGACUGGCCUGGACGGUCGCAGGAGAACCACGGUGGUGUUGAUGACUUCCUGAUGGAGGAGAUCAGAGUGAGAAGCCAUGACAUACUGGAGAAUGAAGAAGAGAUGCAACAUAUGCUGCGCAUUCUUAGCGGCGGGGCAGCAGCAAACAUGAAUAAUGUAGAUGGCUUUCCCUACAUCCCUUCUCCUGUACCGACCUUCAACUUUGAGGAUGAUCGUGCUCCCUCAUCUGGCAAGGCUGUUGUUGGGUGGCUUAAGAUUAAGGCUGCCAUGCGGUGGGGCAUCUUCGUCAGGAAGAAAGCUGCCGAGAGAAGAGCUCAGCUUGUUGAGCUGGAUGACUAG
rnacentral:rRNA from 1 species